rnacentral:rRNA from 1 species
UACGGAGGGUGCAAGCGUUAUCCGGAAUCACUGGGCGUAAAGGGCGCGUAGGCGGUCUGUUAAGUCCGAUGUUAAAGACUGGGGCUCAACCCCAGCAUUGCGUUGGAUACUGGCAGGCUUGACGGUUGGAGAGGCGAGUGGAAUUACCAGUGUAGCGGUGAAAUGCGUAGAUACUGGUAGGAACACCCAUUGCGAAGGCAGCUCGCUGGACAACACGUGACGCUGAGGCGCGAAAGUGUGGGGAGCAAACCGGAUUAGAUACCCCUGUA